GAUGAACGCUGGCGGCGUGCUUAACACAUGCAAGUCGAGCGAGAAGUUUUGAAAAGAUUCUUCGGAUGAAAUUUAAAAUGGAAAGCGGCGGACGGGUGAGUAACGCGUAGGCAACCUGCCCCAUACAAAGGGAUAGCAUUUGGAAACGAAUAUUAAUACCUUAUGAAACUUAACUAGUGCAUGCUAGGUAGGUCAAAGAUUUAUCGGUAUGGGAUGGGCCUGCGUCUGAUUAGCUAGUUGGUGAGGUAACGGCUCACCAAGGCGACGAUCAGUAGCCGACCUGAGAGGGUGAACGGCCACGUUGGAACUGAGACACGGUCCAAACUCCUACGGGAGGCAGCAGUGGGGAAUAUUGCACAAUGGGGGAAACCCUGAUGCAGCAACGCCGCGUGAAAGAUGAAGGCCUUUGGGUCGUAAAGUUCUGUUCUAGGUGAUGAAAACUGACAGUAACCGAGGAGAAAGCCCCGGCUAACUCCGUG
rnacentral:rRNA from 1 species